rnacentral:rRNA from 1 species
ACUCCUACGGGGAGGCAGCAGUGGGGAAUAUUGCACAAUGGGCGCAAGCCUGAUGCAGCCAUGCCGCGUGUGUGAAGAAGGCCUUCGGGUUGUAAAGCACUUUCAGUCGUGAGGAAGGUAGUGUAGUUAAUAGCUGCAUUAUUUGACGUUAGCGACAGAAGAAGCACCGGCUAACUCCGUGCCAGCAGCCGCGGUAAUACGGAGGGGUGCGAGCGUUAAUCGGAAUUACUGGGGCGUAAAGCGCAUGCAGGUGGUUUGUUAAGUCAGAUGUGAAAGCCCGGGGCUCAACCUCGGAAUAGCAUUUGAAACUGGCAGACUAGAGUACUGUAGAGGGGGUAGAAUUUCAGGUGUAGCGGUGAAAUGCGUAGAGAUCUGAAGGAAUACCGGUGGCGAAGGCGGCCCCCUGGACAGAUACUGACACUCAGAUGCGAAAGCGUGGGGAGC